CCUACGGGUGGCAGCAGUGAGGAAUAUUGGUCAAUGGACGAGAGUCUGAACCAGCCAAGUAGCGUGAAGGAUGACUGCCCUAUGGGUUGUAAACUUCUUUUAUAUGGGAAUAAAAUGUUCCACGUGUGGGAUUUUGUAUGUACCAUAUGAAUAAGGAUCGGAUAACUCCGUGCCAGCAGCCGCGGUAAUACGGAGGAUCCGAGCGUUAGCCGGAGUUAUUGGGGUUAAAGGGAGCGUAGGUGGAUUGUUAAGUCAGUUGUGAAAGUUUGCGGCUCAACCGUAAAAUUGCAGUUGAAACUGGCAGUCUUGAGUACAGUAGAGGCAGGCGGAAUUCGUGGUGUAGCGGUGAAAUGCUUAGAUAUCACGAAGAACUCCGAUUGCGAAGGCAGUUCACUGGACUGCUACUGACACUGAGGCUCGAAAGUGUGGGUAUCAAACAGGAUUAGAUACCCCAGUAGUC
rnacentral:rRNA from 1 species